UACGGAGGGUGCGAGCGUUAAUCGGAAUUACUGGGCGUAAAGCGCGCGUAGGCGGGAGCCUAAGUCAGGAGUGAAAUACCCGGGCUUAACCUGGGAAUUGCUUUUGAUACUGGGCUUCUUGAGUUCAGGAGAGGGUGGCGGAAUUCCAGGUGUAGGAGUGAAAUCCGUAGAGAUCUGGAGGAACAUCAGUGGCGAAGGCGGCCACCUGGACUGAUACUGACGCUGAGGUGCGAAAGCGUGGGUAGCAAAC
rnacentral:rRNA from 1 species